GUCCACGCCGUAAACGAUGAUAACUAGCUGUCCGGGCACUUGGUGCCUGGGUGGCGCAGCUAACGCAUUAAGUUAUCCGCCUGGGGAGUACGGUCGCAAGAUUAAAACUCAAAGGAAUUGACUGGGGCCUGCACAAGCGGUGGAGCAUGUGGUUUAAUUCGAAGCAACGCGCAGAACCUUACCAGCGUUUGACAUCCCGCGCUAUCCAGAGAGAUCUGGGGUUCCCUUCGGGGACGCGGUGACAGGUGCUGCAUGGCUGUCGU
rnacentral:rRNA from 1 species